UUCUGCCCUAUCAACUAGUUGAUAAGGUAGUGGCUUACCAAGGUUUUGACGGGUAACGGGGAAUCAGGGUUCGAUUCCGGAGAGGGAGCCUGAGAAACGGCUACCACAUCCAAGGAGGGCAGCAGGCGCGCAAAUUACCCAAUCCAGACAUUGGGAGGUAGUGACGAGAAAUACCGGAGUGGAUCAUUUGAUGCGCUACCGGAAUGAACGUAAUCUAAUAAUUUCGAUGAGUAUCUACUGGAGGGCAAGUCUGGUGCCAGCAGCCGCGGUAAUUCCAGCUCCAGUAGUGUAUAUCAAAAUUGUUGCGGUUAAAACGCUCGUAGUUGGAUUACAGAGGCCUCAAUUGGUGUACUUUUACGGUGCAUCAAAGUAGGCCUUCUUCAUCGCAAGAUUUGUGUGCGGACUUUAUUGGCUGUGUGCAAGACUCUUGCGGAGCGUGCCUUGAAUAAAGCAUAGUGCUCAAAGCAAGCGUACGCUGGAGUGUAAUAGCAUGGAACGAAUAGAUAGACCUCGGUUUAGUCUGUUGGUUGUACAGUGCGGCAGCGCAAGUUGUCGCAUUGCCUAAACUGGGUUUUGAUUAAAAGGGACACUUGAGGGCAUUAGUACUUUGUGGCGAGAGGUGAAAUUCUUUGACCCACAAAAGACUGACUAUUGCGAAAGCAUUUGCCAAGAAUGUUUUCAUUAAUCAAGAACGAAAGUCAGAGGUUCGAAGACGAUCAGAUACCGUCCUAGUUUUGACAGCAAACGAUGCUACCACGGGAUCAGUCCGGAACGAUCCAGGUGGGUCCCCCCGCGAAACC
rnacentral:rRNA from 1 species